CUGAUUCUUUGAUGCUUUGGUCUCUAGGCCAAAAAACUACUUCACAGAAUCAUCAGAGGCCAGUGUUUUUGCAAAGUUCACUGCAAGAUGUUUUUUACCAGUGUUGAACCCAGUGGGCUCUGUCAGUCACAAGGGGAGAUGAAGUCAUGUGGGCUACUCACAACAAACAAUGCACACAUCUUUACACUGGAAGAUUUGGCUUCUCCCUUUUCUCCAUUAUUAGUUCAGGCCAACGCAAGAGUUUCCUGCCUUGGCCCUUCUUGGGUGAAGUCACUGUCCUGGAACUG